UACGGAGGGUGCGAGCGUUGUCCGGAAUCACUGGGCGUAAAGGGCGCGUAGGCGGCUCAUGAAGGCUGUGGUGAAAGUCCGGGGCUCAACCUCGGAUCGGCCGUGGCGACUCGUGGGCUGGAGCACUGUAGAGGCGGGUGGAAUUCCCGGUGUAGUGGUGGAAUGCGUAGAGAUCGGGAGGAACACCUGUGGCGAAGGCGGCCGACUGGGCCGACCCUGACGCUGAGGCGCGAAGGCGUGGGGGAGCGAACGGG
rnacentral:rRNA from 1 species